rnacentral:rRNA from 1 species
AUACGUAGGUGACAAGCGUUAUCCGGAUUUACUGGGCGUAAAGGGCGUGUAGGCGGUCUUGCAAGUCAGAAGUGAAAUUCCUGAGCUCAACUCGGGCGCUGCUUCUGAAACUGCAGGACUUGAGUGCUGGAGGGGAUAGCGGAAUUCCUAGUGGAGCGGUAAAAUGCGCAGAUAUGAGGAAGAACACCGGUGGCGAAGGCGUGUAUGUGGACAAGAACUGGCGGUGGGGCGCGAGCGCGUGGGGCGCAAACAGAAUUAUAUACCCGGGUACCCCGCGCCGUAAACGAUGAACACUAGGUGUAGGGGGUAUCGACUCCCUCUGUGCCGCAGUUAACACAAUAAGUAGUCCGCCUGGGGAGUACGGCCGCAAGGUUGAAACUCAAAUGAAUUGACGG